CAGGUCAAGACAUGGGCGUGAUUGACAGGCUAAUGACUUUUCUCGAUUCCAUGGAUGGUGGUGCAUGGUCGCACUUAGUUGGUGCAGUGAUUUGUCAGGUUUAUUCCGGUAACGAACGAGACCUCGGCCUUGUAAAUAGCUAUGCUGCUUACAGGGACAUUGGCGGCUACGCCAAGGAAGCUCGAGGCAAUUGCAGAUCUGGAAUGCCCUUAGAUGUCCUGGGUCGCACGCGUGCUACAAUGACGCCACGAACGAGCUUGCGUGAUGAAAGUUACGCAUAAUCAGCAGUCGGCGUCUUAAGGGAUAGUCUCUUGUAACUGUGGGACUCCAACUAGGAAUGUCUCGUAAGCACAAGUCAACAUCUUGUGUUGAUUACGUCCCUGCUCUUUGUACACACCGCCCGUCGCUCCUACCGAUCGAGUGUUUAGGUGAAUUUGAUGGACGUAAGGAAGUCAAAUAAACCUGAGCACUAGAGAAGAGAAGCGACUGAGCCUAAGUAU
rnacentral:rRNA from 1 species